rnacentral:lncRNA from 1 species
AGUCCAGGAACCGCUUUUGCAUAACCUCAGUAGAUAAAGCAUGCUGAGGUCAUGUCAGAUCAUUUCAAGCUCUUCUGUGUCGAGCUGAGGAGCUGCUCUGUGCCCGGCUUACAGAACUGGAAGGGGGAGCCACCUUCCGCCUGAUGGAGGCUGGAGAACGGAUGGAACCUGGAUCCCUGGAGCCUGGGACACUACCUCGCUGCGGUUGGUGGUGGCCACAGACCAGUAGGAGGGCGGCUGGCAGCGGGAGCUUCUUCUGCCGGGCUGGAGGACUAGGAGAAGGGAGAGGGAACGCCACAUGCUGGAGGCUGGAGCCUGUGCCACCGUGGCUCACCUCGAUGUGGUUGGUGGCAGCUCGCCUUGCUGUGGUUGGUGGUGACGUCGGAGACUGCAGCUCGGCCACAGUGGUAGAAAUGUGUUGGGGUAGAUGGAGCCGGACUGUGUAGAACAAAUAAUUACAGAAACAAAGAAAACUUUUGCUGUGUUGGGCACUUGCUCCCAUCUGCUUGCUUCUCUAGAAUCCACUGCCCUAGAAUGAGUAAUUUUUCUUAGAAGCAGAGUUGGAACCACUGAGGAAGCACAGUAGGUCACUAAAGAAGCAGUUCCUUGAAAAACUGAAUUUCUAUUGUCUCUGUCAGAAAAAAAUCAUUCAUUAGCAGGAGAAGAACAGCAAGAGAUCAAUCACAUAAUCUUGAGAAGGUCUAGCAUGGCGGAUGCUGCGGCUACUGGUCCAGGAAGCACAUUUUGAGAACCACUCAGCUAGAAGAUUAUUGCAUUCAUCCAGGUUCCUGCUGAAGUCUGAGGGGAAAAGGGGAUUCUGGAAGGCGGAGAAAUGGAUGGAUCCUGUGGAGAGGCCAGACAGCUUCCGAGCAGCUGAGAAAGAAGGAAGUCAGCCAAGGUCUGAAAGAAGAGAGAUAGAUGCUGGAGAGCAUUUAAAUGAAAAGAAUUUAACCAGAAGUAUCGGCAGAAGUAAAAGAAAAGCCAUGUUGGGGGAACCUAAAGAUUAGCCACAAAGGUUAAGGGAAAGGAGGGAGGAGAGGAGACGUUACUGCAGCCUGUGAAGGCCAGAGCAAGAGGCGUGGCCGUGGAAAGUGCAGGAAGUAUGGCUAUGGAGAGUGCUGGGGUGUGGCUGUGGUGGGUGCAGGAAGCGUGGCUGUGGAGCGGGUGUGGUUAUGGACGGAGUGUGGCUGUGGAGGGGGUGUGACUGUGGAGGGUGCUGAGUGUGGCUGUGGUGGGUGCUGGGGGUGUGGCUGUGGUAGGGGAGGUGUGGCUAUUGGAUAGUCACAGCUGUGGUGGGUGCAGGGGGCAAGGCUGUGGUGUAGGAAGUGUAGUGUGGCUAUUGAAUGGGGUGUAUAGCAGUGGUGAAUACAGGAGGCAUGGCCUUGGUGGGUACAGGAGGCAUGGCUAUAACACAGGAGGCAUGGCCUUGGUGGGUGCAGGAAGCAUAGCUGUGAUGCAAGAAGCAUGGCCUUGGUGAGUGCUGGAGUAUGUUCUCUAAAGACACUGUGAACACUAUUAGCCCAUACUGAACCACUGCUCCUGGAGAAAUACAGGGUUAGCUUCCACGCCUCUGAUCACUACAUUUUUGUCAUCCAACCAAUACAUAUUUUUGUUUUAUGUGUUUUUAUCUACAGACACCUUGUUUAAUAUACGUUUCUUACCAAUAGUUAACUGUAUGUAUUAUUCUUUAUAAUAAAACUCAAGCUGGGAAGA